rnacentral:lncRNA from 1 species
UAUGUUUUCCCAUGAAGACAGUACACUUCGGCACAUCAGCUCUCAUAUUUGUAAAGAGGAACCCAAACUGUGGCCUCUUUUCAGAACCAGACCGAUCUUUCUACACCUCAUAAUUCCUCCUCAAAUCUGAUGAGUCUAAAACAAUCUCCUGGGCGUUAUCUUUCUUCCUGAGAGAUUAAAAACUGGCAACUAUUCCUUGUUUACUUUUCCCAAACCAGGCUGAUUUAAGGGCCAACGAGAAGUCUCAGUAGAAGAAGUCUCCUGCCACCCAUUUUGCUGCCUUCAGUUCAGUCAUUUGGAUUCAUUAGGAGAAAAUGGAGUCUCACAAUUUGCCAUGUAACUUCCACACACAUGUGCUCCACACAGAGUACAUGAGUACUCUAGCCUCCAAAUAAACAAACAUUUAAAGGCG